GUGCCAGCAGCCGCGGUAAUUCCAGCUCCAAUAGCGUAUAUUAAAGUUGUUGUGGUUAAAAAGCUCGUAGUUGAACCUUGGGCCUGGCUGGCCGGUCCGCCUCACCGCGUGCACUGGUCCGGCCGGGCCUUUCCCUCUGUGGAACCCCAUACCCUUCACUGGGCGUGGGGGGGAAACAGGACAUUUACUUUGAAAAAAUUAGAGUGCUCCAGGCAGGCCUAUGCUCGAAUACAUUAGCAUGGAAUAAUAAAAUAGGACGCGCGGUUCUAUUUUGUUGGUUUAUAGGACCGCCGUAAUGAUUAAUAGGGACAGUCGGGGGCAUCAGUAUUCAACUGUCAGAGGUGAAAUUCUUGGAUCAGUUGAAGACUAACUACUGCGAAAGCAUUUGCCAAGGAUGUUUUCAUUAAUCAGGAACGAAAGUUAGGGGAUCGAAGACGAUCAGAUACCGUCGUAGUCUUAACCAUAAACUAUGCCGACUAGGGAUCGGACGGUGUUAUUCAUGACACGUCCGGCACCUUACGAGAAAUCAAAGUGCUUGUGCUCCAGGGGGAGUAUGGUCGCAAGGCUGAAACUUAAAGAAAUUGACGGAAGGGCACCACCAGGGGUGGAGCCUGCGGCUUAAUUUUGACUCACACGGGAAACUCACCAGGUCCAGACGCAAUAAGGAUUGACAGAAUGAGAGCUCUUUCUUGAUUUUGUGGCUGGUGUGCAUGACCGUUCUUAGUUGGUGGGGUGACUUGUCUGCUUAAUUGUGAUAACGACCGAGACCAUCAUCCUGCUAAAUAAGCCCGCAUGCUC
rnacentral:rRNA from 1 species